rnacentral:rRNA from 1 species
GACGAACGCUGGCGGCGUGCUUAACACAUGCAAGUCGAACGCUGAAGCUCAGCUUUUGUUGGGUGGAUGAGUGGCGAACGGGUGAGUAACACGUGAGUAACCUGCCUCCUUCUUUGGGAUAACGCCCGGAAACGGGUGCUAAUACUGGAUAUUCACUGGUCUUCGCAUGGGGGUUGGUGGAAAGGGUUUUUCUGGUGGGGGAUGGGCUCGCGGCCUAUCAGCUUGUUGGUGGGGUGAUGGCCUACCAAGGCUUUGACGGGUAGCCGGCCUGAGAGGGUGACCGGUCACAUUGGGACUGAGAUACGGCCCAGACUCCUACGGGAGGCAGCAGUGGGGAAUAUUGCACAAUGGGCGCAAGCCUGAUGCAGCGACGCCACGUGAGGGAUGGAGGCCUUCGGGUUGUGAACCUCUUUCGCUCAUGGUCAAGCCGCAACAAUGGUUGUGGUGAGGGUAGUGGGUAAAGAAGCGCCGGCUAACUACGUG